GUGGAUGUAGCUCAGCUGGUUAGAGCGUCGGAUUGUGGUUCCGAAAGUCGUGGGUUCGAAUCCCAUCUUCCACCCCA
rnacentral:tRNA from 1 species